rnacentral:rRNA from 1 species
GCAAGGCCUUGCGCUCUUUGAGCGGCCGAUGUCAGAUUAGCUAGUUGGUGAGGUAAAGGCUUACCAAGGCGACGAUCUGUAGCGGGUCUGAGAGGAUGAUCCGCCACACUGGAACUGAGACACGGUCCAGACUCCUACGGGAGGCAGCAGUGGGGAACUUUGGACAAUGGGGGCAACCCUGAUCCAGCCAUGCCGCGUGAGUGAAGAAGGCCUUCGGGUUGUAAAGCUCUUUCGGCCGGGAAGAAAUCGCAUGGGCCAAUACCCUGUGUGGAUGACGGUACCGGAAUAAGAAGCACCGGCUAACUACGUGCCAGCAGCCGCGGUAAUACGUAGGGUGCGAGCGUUAAUCGGAAUUACUGGGCGUAAAGCGUGCGCAGGCGGUUUUGUAAGACAGGCGUGAAAUCCCCGGGCUUAACCUGGGAACUGCGUUUGUGGCUGCAAGGCUAGAGUACGGCAGAGGGGGGUGGAAUUCCACGUGUGGCAAAAUGCGUAGAGAUGUGGAGGAACACCAAUGGCGAAGGCAGCCCCCUGGGUCGAUACUGACGCUCAUGCACGAAAGCGUGGGUAGCAAACAGGAUUAGAUACCCUGGUAGUCCACGCCCUAAACUAUCUCAACUAGGUGUUGGGUGGGUAAAACCAUUUAGUACCGUAGCUAACGCGUGAAGUUGACCGCCUGGGGAGUACGGCCGCAAGGUUAAAACUCAAAGGAAUUGACGGGGACCCGCACAAGCGGUGGAUGAUGUGGAUUAAUUCGAUGCAACGCGAAAAACCUUACCUACCCUUGACAUGCCAGGAACUUGCCAGAGAUGGCUUGGUGCCCGAAAGGGAGCCUGGACACAGGUGCUGCAUGGCUGUCGUCAGCUCGUGUCGUGAGAUGUUGGGUUAAGUCCCGCAACGAGCGCAACCCUUGUCGUUAAUUGCCAUCAUUUAGUUGGGCACUUUAACGAGACUGCCGGUGACAAACCGGAGGAAGGUGGGGAUGACGUCAAGUCCUCAUGGCCCUUAUGGGUAGGGCUUCACACGUCAUACAAUGGUCGGUACAAAGGGUUGCCAAGCCGCGAGGCGGAGCCAAUCCCAGAAAGCCGAUCGUAGUCCGGAUUGCAGGCUGCAACUUGCCUGCAUGAAGUCGGAAUCGCUAGUAAUCGUGGAUCAGCAUGUCACGGUGAAUACGUUCCCGGGUCUUGUACACACCGCCCGUCACACCAUGGGAGCGGGUUCCGCCAGAAGUAGGUAGCCUAACCGCAAGGGGGGCGCUUACCACGGCGGGGUUCGUGACUGGGGUGAAGUCGAAACAAGGUA